GGCCCCUGGGGGUGUUUGGGGGUACCUUUUUGGGGUCCCCAGGCUCCGGAGGCGCCUCAGGCUUCCCGCCCUCGCUGAGGCGGCAGCUCUCAGCCAAUCAAGGUGCGGCUGCUGCCCGCCCCGCUUCCUGAGUGGCUGCCACUGCCCGCCUCCAGCCAUCACCAGCCAAUCAGGGGCGAGGGUUUUCCCGCCCACUGCCCCCUCCGCCGCUUUCCCUCCUCUCCCCAAUGGCGGCGCUCACGGGCCGUGGCUGAGGCGUUGGAGACCCGCCGCCGCCUCGGGCACGCGUCGCAGCCCUGCUGCAGCCUCCCCGGCCCGCCCACUACCCCGUUUUCACCGCUUUUUCGCGUUUUUCUCUCGGUUUUCUUCUUCUCUUCGGUUGUGGGGCCCGGGGGGCAGCGCUGUGAGCAGAGGCGUCCCCUCACGGGGGCUUUCCCCACACGCGCGGCCGCCAUGUUGAGGCCAGAGAGGUGCCGCUGGUUUGCAUUUGUAUUCUCCUUUACAGUUACCCUCCCCCAGAAAUAACCGCGGGGGUGGUUUCUGGCUGAGGGGGGGGGGGCGCUAGAACGCGUGCAGAAGGCACCGUUUGGGGAAUUGCAAACCUCUGAAAACCCGAAUCUGCUGGGUUUGGUCCUGAGCCGCAGGCUGUGGUGCCUGGCUAAGCCGCAUUUGUCGUUUUGGGGAGUGAAAAGCUGAGAAAGGCAGAGAGGGAGCGGGUGAGAAAGGAGGUCACCUUGUGCUUAGGGUGGUUUUCUUCGCUUUUGCUUGUCCUGGGUUAUUUGUGGCUGCGUUUGCCGGCUGCCACAGCUGCUCGUCCGUGUGCUCCUGCAGGGCAGCCCCAGCCUUGGGGAGCCAAAAGUUGUGAUUCUGGGGGCGGAAAACAGAAAGCAAAAGCUGGCUGUGCCAUUUCCAGCCCUCCGUGUCCAUACCCAGCACCAGCUCUUCUGUAGCUUUUCCCAGUCAGCAAUGAGUGGAGAAGCCCUUUCUUGACCCGUUUUGCCUCCACUGAACAGGGCUUUGCUUGGCAGUAGGAAUACGUAGAGAAAUGUUCAGGAUGUGCAACCAUUUUCCCUAGAAGGGAUAGGGGGGUGGGGGAGAUUUCCACGUGCUGCUGGUGGCGUCGGUGUCUCUGCGCCUGGGUUGGCAGUGACGCUGGGGUUAAAAAGCGAUGUUGAAGAAGUGCAGCAGCCUGGAAGUUGUCCCCAGAAGGUAGACACACGCACACCCCCCCCAAAAGGAGAUGCCCAUCUCCUCCGUGGUGCUGAGGCAGCAGCACGUGGAGAGCAAGGGACUGGGCUCCGGUCCUCCAGCGAUGGUUCAGGUUCCGUUGUGAAAGCGCAGCCCAGCAGGAUGGAAAUGGUGCUCUCUUUUUCUCCCCAGCUGCCGUCGCAUCCUCUCCUUUCCCCUCCAGGGAUGUGCAGGUUUUCUCCACGUUGCUCUGAGGGCAGCUUCCCAGCUCUUGUCCCAGCAAGGGGAGGUUCCUGGCUGUGGAGGCCGUGGAGAAGGUCCCUCAGCUGGAAUCAUCCCUGUGAUGGUCCCUGUCCCAGCGCAAGUUUGGGCUGAUUGCAGUGCCACGGCUGGAAAAUCUUCAUGCUCAUGGUGUUUAGACUACGUCGUGGACAGACGAGGAGUUGGUCGUCUCUGGCAAGAGGUCGUUGCGUUUUCCUCCAGUAUCUCGUAGUCUGCUGUCAGAUGGAUUUCUGUGAAGGGAGUGAGACUCUGAGCAAAAACUGCUACAGGUUUUUGGGGCUCUUUGCCCACACGCGGACCCCGUGGAUGGCUUCAGGUCCCGCCAUUUCCCUCCCUCUGCUCACCCCAUCCCCAGACCUGGCCAGCAGCAGGGUUCAGCUCUGCCAGGCCCACCCACAAAGCCCCUCUCUUCCCACCCGGCCUGGAAACCAGCACCCAGCUGCAAACACACACUCUCCUCUCGGGCCAAGAGCAGCCUCCUGCUUUGUUAGGCCUUCUAAAUGCUGCCAAAUAACGUGUGUCUGCAUGUGUGUGCCUGGUGUGUCUGCGUGGCAACAGAAGGGAACUGGAGGGACUUGAGGCUAGCCAUGGAGGAGCCCAAGGUUCUGCUUGGAUCGAGCCAACCCCCGGCUCAAAACUGAGAUCUCGUUGGAGAGGCCCCGCUGUCCCCAGAACUACUUGCCUCCAAGGCUUGAGCCCCCAAAGGAACAGGGAUGUGGAUCACGCACCUGUUUUGCCAUCUCUGACGGCGUUCUUGCAGCUCCAGGCAAUCAAAGCUCGGCUCACCGUGGAAGGGGCCGCAGCGUCGAGAGCCUGGGUUUGAGCUUUGGCUUUUGGCGAUUGAUAGAGCCGGCCCCUUGGUCUGUGCGGGUCCCAGACACAGAGGUGUUGGUGGGCUCCUUGGGCGGUCUGGCUGUAAUAGGAUAAGGGCCCCGCUCCACGUACAGAGGUUUGAACUUUGGCAUUUUCUGCUCCUUGGGCGGACUUACUCUACUACCUUUGGCAAUGGCGUCGAGGGCCUGAAUAGGAGCUUCGGUGGUUGAUGUUGAGCAGAGCUGGCCUCCUGGUCCAUCUCUGUCCCAGUGGUAGAGGCAUCGCUGGGCUCCUUGUGCAGGCUGGCUCUAAUACCUAGAGGCAACGGCGUCACGAGCCUGGGGAGGAGCUUUGGCAGCUGAUGCUCAGAACUUCUCCCCUGCUGUGUCACUGUCCCCAAAAGUAGAGGGGUUGCUGGGCUCCUUGGGCAGGCUGGCACUCACACGUACAGCGCACGGCGUCACGAGCCUGGGUAGGAGCUUUGGCAGCUGAUGCACAGAACUUGCCCCCUGCUGUGUCACUGUGCCAGAAGUAGAGGGCUUGGAAUUGGAUGCUUCCGUCUUUGGGCGGUCUGGAAGCACGGACCAGAACCUCUCAGUCUGUAAGUUCGGCAGUCUGCCGAAUGGGGAGUUGUUUCCCAAAAGAGGGGUAUUUUUCCCCAUAAGGGGGAAAUUUCCCCAAAAAGGGGGACACUUUUCCCCAAACAGGACGAGUUGCUCCCAAAAAGGGGGAAACUGUUCCCCGAAAAGGGGGAAUUGUUAUCAGAAAUGGGAAACAACUCCCCAUUUUUUUCAGAACAAGUCCCAUUUUGGGGGAGCAAUUCUCCAUUUUUGUUAAAAGUUCCCCCUUGUUGGGGAACAAUUUCCCCUUUUUAGGUAACAAUGCCCAUCUUUUGGGGAAAAUUCCCCUUUUUUUUGUGAAGAAUACCCCAUUGUUUGGAAACAAUUCCCCCUUUUUUGAGGGCAACUCCCCUUUUUUGGGAACAAUUCCCUGUCUUUUGGGGAAAAUCUCCCCAUUUUGGAGGAACAAUUCCCCCUUAUAAGGAAAAAUCCCCCCUUUUGGGGUACAACUCCCCACUUUUUGUUUACGAUUCCCCCUUAUUUGGGAUCAGUUCCCCCUUUUGGGAAACAACUCCCCAUUUGGGGGAAAUAUUCCCUUGUUUGGGGAAAUUUCCCCCU